AUUGAACGCUGGCGGCAGGCCUAACACAUGCAAGUCGAGCGGAGGGGCGGACGGGGGAGUAAUGCCUAGGUAUCUGCCUGGUAGUGGGGGAUAACGUCCGGUAACGGGAGCUAAUACUGCAUACUCUCAGAUUAGGCUAGGUCGGAUUAGCUAGUUGGUGGGGUAAAGGCAUACCAAGGCGACGAUCCGUAACUGGUCUGAGAGGAUGAUCAGUCACACUGGAACUGAGACACGGUCCAGACUCCUACGGGAGGCAGCAGUGGGGAAUAUUGGACAAUGGGCGAAAGCCUGAUCCAGCCAUGCCGCGUGUGUGAAGAAGGUCUUCGGAUUGUAAAGCACUUUAAGUUGGGAGGCGUUACCAACAGAAUAAGCACCGGCUAACUUCGUGCCAGCAGCCGCGGUAAUUC
rnacentral:rRNA from 1 species